UACGAAGGGGGCUAGCGUUGUUCGGAAUUACUGGGCGUAAAGCGCACGUAGGCGGAUCUUUAAGUCAGGGGUGAAAUCCUGGAGCUCAACUCCAGAACUGCCUUUGAUACUGGGGAUCUCGAGUCCGGGAGAGGUGAGUGGAACUCCGAGUGUAGAGGUGAAAUUCGUAGAUAUUCGGAAGAACACCAGUGGCGAAGGCGGCUCACUGGCCCGGUACUGACGCUGAGGUGCGAAAGCGUGGGGAGCAAACAGG
rnacentral:rRNA from 1 species